rnacentral:lncRNA from 1 species
AAUCGGUUUCAAUAAUCUGUGUGCCAAGCAGUUUACUCUCAUAUUUAGUUCUUUUAAAAACAGUGUGGCUACUGCUAUCCUCCGGAUUUCACAGACAAAGGAAUGCAAGUGCAGAGAGGUCAAGGACCUUGCCCAAGGUCACUUGACUGGUAAAUGGCUGCUAUACAGCCUUCCUAAUGUUAUCAGGUCACAAAUUUAAGACACUGUGGAUUUUCACAAGGGAGAGAGUCUGGUGGUUUCUUGUAAAUGAUGACUUUGUUUAGUUUCUGUCUUCUCCAUGGAAUGUACACAUCCUGAGAGUAGAGUCUUUGCUGGAUGCAUUUGUUGACUAUGACUAAGCCCUGGCUUGUCUCAACUGCUUCUUCCCUAGCCAUUGUGAUGCCACUCAACACUGGCAGAUAUAGCUUCUCCCUGACCCUGGUCCAAUGAGAGCCCCACCCAGGGCACUGCAGAACGGGAGCCAUGGCCUUGUCUUCUGUUCAUGCGUCUUGGCAGUGCCUUUGAACACUGAGCAGCCAGCUUGGCCUCCCUGCUCCAGACCACUGAGUAAGGGAGCUUCCAACCUGGAUCCCAGGCCACUUACACAGCCUGUGUCCCCUGCGCCUGGAUGGACUGCCUAGCCCUGGACCGUUAAGGUUGCCUCAUUUUUGAUUCCCACAUAGUGCUUGAAGCAUGGAAGGUGCUGGAGAAAUUUGGCUAAAUGAAUCACCAUUGGCUUGUUAAGAGCAUGCCAUUGAAGAGAAAAUUAUUUAUUAUAAAACAAACCUGAAAAGGGAAAGGGAAGACUGAGUGCUGGAAGUGAGAAACAAGGUUGGAGAUCAGGGAGAUUGAGUUGGAAGAAUAUCCAUAGGAAGGAGAAAAAAAGCACCAAGAAGCUCCAUAAAUCACAGCAGCAGUAUUUUUGCCUUCAUUGUCCUUCUUUAUUUUAUGUCCCUGGCACCAAACAGUUUAUCAUUCCCAUUUCAUGCGAAGUGCUACACAAAUAGCAACUGGCCCAACAGCUGAAUGGGAGAUAGCAGUCUCGAAAUAAUAGCAAAACGUGAAACUAUCUGAAUUCUGGAAUUUUCUGUAGUGU